CGCACAGCACGACACGACACGGUUCUCUCAGAAUAUAUCUGAAGCAACGAUAACAACUUCUCUCCAUCUAUUUAUGCAUAAGGAUGCGAUUGUUUUCGAUUAUUGAAGCGGGUAGAAGAUAUCAAGAGAAGAAGAGCGCGAGACCAGAUAUGAGAGCGACAACAUGAACGAUAUAUCUGGUGAUGAUCAAGAUGCCAAACCGUCAAGGGAUAAGAGAUCUACCAGUCAUGGAUAAGGCACAUUGCGAUUCGAAGUCCCGUCGUCUUUGUAUUCCCGUAGCACAGCCUCCUCAUCUCUCCAAUUUUGAGAUCGCGAAAAUGUGUGGCCACAUUUGCAAAAGAAACCCAUUUCUUAAAGUUGAUAGUUGUUAUUCGUAUCAUCAAAAUAUGAUUUCGUGUCUUUCUUCUGGUAUGUUAUUCUAGAUUUGGAUGUAUAACUAUAGUUAACAAAGGUGGAGCAAGAUAAGGAGGCAAGAGCGAUUGGGGCAGAGGUCGAUGCAGCAGUGAAGUGGAAUGUUUGGAGAUACACACAAGAUGCAUUUGGAAGAAGCAGAAGAGAAGAGAAGAAGAAGAAAAGCACAAAAAGGAAAAAAGCAUUUGGUAGUAGAAGCAGAGGAGCGAAGAAGAAACCGAAGAUCAAAAAAGAAGAGUUAAGAAGAAGAAAAACACGAGAAAAAGUAUUUGGGAGAAGAUGCAAAGGAGCAAAGAAGAAGUAGAAGACCAUAGAAGAAAAUGAAAAAGAAAACCGCAGCCUGGAGAAAAAGAAGAUGCGCAAAAAUGUUAGAAAAAAACAUAUGAAUUCUUAAAUAUAAUUUUGUAUUGUUAUUGGGCUAAUUAGUUUGAGCCAUGAAAUGUGAUUUUGUGUUAAUAAUGAAAACUAUCCAUUUCAAUU